GCCAAUAUGGCUCAGUGGUUGGAGCGUCAGCCUGCAGACUGAAGGGUUCGGAGUUCGAUUCUGGUUAGGGGCA
rnacentral:tRNA from 1 species